rnacentral:rRNA from 1 species
GGUAGUCCACGCCGUAAACGAUGUCGACUUGGAGGUUGUUCCCUUGAGGAGUGGCUUCCGGAGCUAACGCGUUAAGUCGACCGCCUGGGGAGUACGGCCGCAAGGUUAAAACUCAAAUGAAUUGACGGGGGCCCGCACAAGCGGUGGAGCAUGUGGUUUAAUUCGAUGCAACGCGAAGAACCUUACCUACUCUUGACAUCCAGAGAACUUAGCAGAGAUGCUUUGGUGCCUUCGGGAACUCUGAGACAGGUGCUGCAUGGCUGUCGUCAGCUCGUGUUGUGAAAUGUUGGGUUAAGUCCCGCAACGAGCGCAACCCUUAUCCUUUGUUGCCAGCGAUUCGGUCGGGAACUCAAAGGAGACUGCCGGUGACAAACCGGAGGAAGGUGGGGAUGACGUCAAGUCAUCAUGGCCCUUACGGCCAGGGCUACACAUGUGCUACAAUGGUCGGUACAAAGGGUUGCCAAGCCGCGAGGUGGAGCUAAUCCCAUAAAACCGAUCGUAGUCCGGAUCGCAGUCUGCAACUCGACUGCGUGAAGUCGGAAUCGCUAGUAAUCGUGAAUCAGAACGUCACGGUGAAUACGUUCCCGGGCCUUGUACACACCGCCCGUCACACCAUGGGAGUGGGUUGCUCCAGAAGUAGCUAGUCUAACCUUCGGGAGGACGGUUACCACGGAGUGAUUCAUGACUGGGGUGAAGUCGUAACAAGGUAACC